GAACGCUAGCGGCAGGCUUAACACAUGCAAGUCGAGGGGCAUCGGGAGUAGCAAUACUGCCGGCGACCGGCGCAAGGGUGCGUAACGCGUGAGCAACAUGCCCGUAUCAGGGGGAUAAUCCAUGGAAACGUGGUCUAAUACCCCAUAGUAAUUAUGUAAGGCAUCUUAUAUAAUUUAAAGCUUUGGUGGAUACGGAUUGGCUCGCGUGACAUUAGCUGGAUGGUAAGGUAACGGCUUACCAUGGCUACGAUGUCUAGGGGUUCUGAGAGGAAGGUCCCCCCACACUGGAACUGAGACACGGUCCAGACUCCUACGGGAGGCAGCAGUGAGGAAUAUUGGACAAUGGAUGGAAAUCUGAUCCAGCCAUGCCGCGUGCAGGGAAAGACGGCCCUAUGGGUUGUAAACUGCUUUUGUAUGGGAGCAAUAAGGGCUACGUGUAGUCCGAUGAGAGUACCAUACGAAUAAGCACCGGCUAACUCCGUGCCAGCAGCAGC
rnacentral:rRNA from 1 species